CCUCUAUGAGGUUGUAAUUAUUAGUACUAAACCAAUUGCUUCGGCAAUGUGAUGAAUCAUAGUAAUCGAACGAAUCGCAGAAUUCUGCGAUAAAUCAUUCAAGUUUCUGCCCUAUCAGCUUUGGAUGGUAGUGUAUUGGACUACCAUGGCAAUCACGGGUAACGGAGAAUUAGGGUUCGAUUCCGGAGAGGGAGCCUGAGAAACGGCUACCACAUCUACGGAAGGCAGCAGGCGCGAAAAUUGCCCAAUCCUGAUUCAGGGAGGCAGUGACAAGAAAUAACAACUUUCAACUUUGUUGAAAAGUGUAAUGAGGAUAAUUUACAAACCUUACCGAAAGCAAUUGGAGGGCAAGUCUGGUGCCAGCAGCCGCGGUAAUUCCAGCUCCAAAAGCGUAUAUUAAAGUUGUUGCAGUUAAAAAGCUCGUAGUUGAAGUUCUGGCUGUAUUGGGCCUCUGCACUCGAUGCGGAGGAACCAGCAGUCAUCCGCUUGCAAAUACAUGUCCUU
rnacentral:rRNA from 1 species